CCUACGGUAGGCAGCAGUGGGGAAUAUUGCACAAUGGGGGAAACCCUGAUGCAGCAACGCCGCGUGAGUGAUGACGGCCUUCGGGUUGUAAAGCUCUGUCUUCAGGGACGCUAAUACCGGUACCUGUGGCGGAAGCCACGGCUAACUACGUGCCAGCAGCCGCGGUAAUACGUCGGUGGCGGGCGUUGUCCGGAUUUACUGGGCGUAAAGGGAGCGUAGGCGGACUUUUAAGUGAGAUGGGAAAUACUCGGGCUCAACUUGAGUGCUGCAUUUCAAACUGGAAGUCUAGAGUGCAGGAGAGGAGUACGGAAUUCCCAGUGUAGCGGUGAAAUGCGUAGAGAUCAGGAAGAACACCAGUGGCGAAGGCGAUUCUCUGGACUGUAACUGACGCUGAGGCUCGAAAGCGUGGGGAGCAAACAGGAUUAGAUACCCGUGUAGUC
rnacentral:rRNA from 1 species